rnacentral:misc_RNA from 1 species
GGGGUAAAUGCUUUGUGUGCAACACUCGACAGUACAUUGGAGCGAAGUGAGAAGAAAAAUAAUUUAUCAAUAUAAUUGAAUAAUUAAAAAAGAAAGAGAAGAAGAAACAAGCGGGUUGCACACCUUCACACAAAGAGGUUAUAACAUUUUCAAAUGGAAGAGGAUGGUCGGCCUGACAGAAGCGAUGUAUACUCUGAAGGCGGAUCGACAUAGUAUACAUAG